rnacentral:rRNA from 1 species
UACAGAGGGGGCAAGCGUUGUUCGGAAUUAUUGGGCGUAAAGAGCUCGUAGGCGGUCUGUCGCGUCGGCUGUGAAAACCCGAGGCUCAACCUCGGGCCUGCAGUCGAUACGGGCAAACUAGAGUACUGCAGGGGAGACUGGAAUUCCUGGUGUAGCGGUGAAAUGCGCAGAUAUCAGGAGGAACACCGGUGGCGAAGGCGGGUCUCUGGGCAGUAACUGACGCUGAGGAGCGAAAGCGUGGGGAGCGAACAGG